AGAGUUUGAUCCUGGCUCCGGAUGAACUCUGGCGGCGUGCUUAACACAUGCAAGUCGGACGAAGCACUCUACUUGAUUUCCUUCGGGAAUGAUUGUUUUGUGACUGAGUGGCGGACGGGUGAGUAACGCGUGGGUAACCUGCCUCAUACAGGGGGAUAACAGUUGGAAACGACUGCUAAUACCGCAUAAGCGCACAGCUUCGCAUGAAGUGGUGUGAAAAACUCCGGUGGUAUGAGAUGGACCCGCGUUGGAUUAGCUUGUUGGCGGGGUAACGGCCCACCAAGGCGACGAUCCAUAGCCGACCUGAGAGGGUGACCGGCCACAUUGGGACUGAGACACGGCCCAAACUCCUACGGGAGGCAGCAGUGGGGAAUAUUGCACAAUGGGCGAAAGCCUGAUGCAGCGACGCCGCGUGAACGAAGAAGUAUUUCGGUAUGUAAAGUUCUAUCAGCAGGGAAGAAGAAUGACGGUACCUGACUAAGAAGCACCGGCUAAAUACGUGCCAGCAGCCGCGGUAAUACGUAUGGUGCAAGCGUUAUCCGGAUUUACUGGGUGUAAAGGGAGCGCAGGCGGCGCGGCAAGUCUGAUGUGAAAGCCCGGGGCUCAACCUCGGUACUGCAUUGGAAACUGUCGUGCUAGAGUGUCGGAGGGGUAAGCGGAAUUCCUACUGUAGCGGUGAAAUGCGUAGAUAUUAGGAGGAACACCAGUGGCGAAGGCGGCUUACUGGACGAUGGCGGACGCUGAGGCUCCAAAUCGUGGGGACCAACCAGGAUUAGAUACUCUGGUAGUCGCACGCCGUAAACGAUGAAUAGUAGGUGUUGGGGAACAUGGUUCNUCGGUGCCGCCGCAUACGCAGUAAGUAUUCCACGUGGGGAGUACGUUCGCAAGAAUGAAACUCAAAGGAAUUGACGGGGACCCGCACAAGCGGUGGAGCAUGUGGUUUAAUUCGAAGCAACGCGAAGAACCUUACCAAGUCUUGACAUCCUUCUGACCGUCCUUUAACAGGGACUUCUCUUCGGAGCAGGAGUGACAGGUGGUGCAUGGUUGUCGUCAGCUCGUGUCGUGAGAUGUUGGGUUAAGUCCCGCAACGAGCGCAACCCUUAUCUUUAGUAGCCAGCAUUUCGGAUGGGCACUCUAGAGAGACUGCCAGGGAUAACCUGGAGGAAGGCGGGGAUGACGUCAAAUCAUCAUGCCCCUUAUGACUUGGGCUACACACGUGAUACAAUGGCGUAAACAAAGGGAAGCAGAGCCGUGAGGCCGAGCAAAUCUCAAAAAUAACGUCUCAGUUCGGAUUGUAGUCUGCAAAUCGACUACGGGAAACUGGAAUCGCUAGUAAUCGCAAAUCAGAAUGUUGCGGUGAAUACGUUCCCGGNGUCGAGUACACACCGCCCGUC
rnacentral:rRNA from 1 species